GUGAUUUCUAAUAGGUACUAUUCCGAAGAAAAUAUAAGAAAAUUAGACGUUGAAGUUUGACAUAAGAUUUUUGUACACUUUUGUUACCUGUUGGCUGUUGUCUCCCAAAGCCACCAUGAUUCAAACUUCAUAGUUGCUGAUCGUUGCUCCCUGUGUUGUGGACAAGACGCAGAGAAACGUU